AGCGAACGCUGGCGGCAGGCCUAACACAUGCAAGUCGAGCGGCAGCGGGACCUUCGGGUUGCCGGCGAGCGGCGGACGGGUGAGUAAUGCCUAGGAAUCUGCCUGUUAGUGGGGGAUAACGCGGGGAAACUCGCGCUAAUACCGCAUACGUCCUACGGGAGAAAGCGGGGGCUCUUCGGACCUCGCGCUAACAGAUGAGCCUAGGUCGGAUUAGCUAGUUGGUGGGGUAAUGGCCCACCAAGGCGACGAUCCGUAACUGGUCUGAGAGGAUGAGCAGUCACACUGGAACUGGGACACGGUCCAGACUCCCACGGGAGGCAGCAGUGGGGAAUAUUGGACAAUGGGCGAAAGCCUGAUCCAGCCAUGCCGCGUGUGUGAAGAAGGUCUUCGGAUUGUAAAGCACUUUAAGUCGGGAGGAAGGGCUGUAGGCUAAUACCUUGCAGUUUUGACGUUACCGACAGAAUAAGCACCGGCUAACUUCGUGCCAGCAGCCGCCGUAACAC
rnacentral:rRNA from 1 species